GGAAUUGACGGGGCCCGCACAAGCGGCGGAGCAUGCGGAUUAAUUCGAUGCAACGCGAAGAACCUUACCAAGGCUUGACAUACACCGGUAACGCCCAGAGAUGGGUGCCCCUUUGUGGUCGGUGUACAGGUGGUGCAUGGUUGUCGUCAGCUCGUGUCGUGAGAUGUUGGGUUAAGUCCCGCAACGAGCGCAACCCUCGUCCUAUGUUGCCAGCGGGUCAUGCCGGGGACUCAUGGGAGACUGCCGGGGUCAACUCGGAGGAAGUGGGGAUGACGUCAAAUCAUCAUGCCCCUUAUGUCUUGGGCUUCACGCAUGCUACAAUGGCCGGUACAAAGGGCUGCGAUACCGCGAGGUGGAGCGAAUCCCAGAAAGCCGGUCUCAGUUCGGAUUGGGGUCUGCAACUCGACCCCAUGAAGUCGGAGUCGCUAGUAAUCGCAGAUCAGCAACGCUGCGGUGAAUACGUUCCCGGGCCUU
rnacentral:rRNA from 1 species